CAAGUUAACCUAGUAGGGAUUUUCAUUUACAUUGAAGGUGGCUCUGUUCAAUUCAGAAUGACUUGA
rnacentral:tRNA from 1 species